UACGGGGGGGGCAAGCGUUGUUCGGAAUUACUGGGCGUAAAGGGCUCGUAGGCGGCCAACUAAGUCGGAUGUGAAAUCCCCAGGCUUAACCUGGGAACUGCAUCCGAUACUGGAUGGCUUGAAUCCGGGAGAGGGAUGCGGAAUUCCAGGUGUAGCAGUGAAAUGCGUAGAUAUCGUGAGGAAGACCAGUGGCGAAGGCGGGUCUCUGGACAGUUCCUGACGCUGAGGCGCGAAGGCCAGGGGAGCAAACGGG
rnacentral:rRNA from 1 species